rnacentral:rRNA from 1 species
CCUACUGGAUGCAGCAGUCGAGAAUCAUUCACAAUGGGGGAAACCCUGCUGGUGCGACGCCGCGUGGGGGAAUGAAGGUCUUCGGAUUGUAAACCCCUGUCAUGUGGGAGCAAAUUAAAAAGAUAGUACCACAAGAGGAAGAGACGGCUAACUCUGUGCCAGCAGCCGCGGUAAUACAGAGGUCUCAAGCGUUGUUCGGAAUCACUGGGCGUAAAGCGGUCGUAGACUGUGUAGUAAGUCGUGUGUGAAAAGCGCGGGCUCACACCGCGGACGGCAGAUGAUACUGGGAGACUAGAGGAAUGUAGGGGGAAGCGGAAUUCGCGGUGUAGCAGUGAAAGGCGUAGAUAUAGAGAGGAACACUCGUGGCGAAGGCGGGUUCCUGGACAUUAACUGACGCUGAGGCACGAAGGCCAGGGGAGCGAAAGGGAUUAGAUACCCCUGUAGUC